AGAACGAACGCUGGCGGCAGGCUUAACACAUGCAAGUCGAACGCGUGUAGCAAUACACGAGUGGCGCACGGGUGAGUAACGCGUGGAUAUCUGCCUUUUGGUUCGGAAUAACCCCGGGAAACUGGGGCUAAUACCGGAUGGUUCCUACGGGAUAAAGAUUUAUCGCCAAAAGAUGAGUCCGCGUACGAUUAGCUAGUUGGUGAGGUAAUGGCUCACCAAGGCGACGAUCGUUAGCUGGUCUGAGAGGACGAUCAGCCACACUGGGACUGAGACACGGCCCAGACUCCUACGGGAGGCAGCAGUGGGGAAUAUUGGACAAUGGGGGCAACCCUGAUCCAGCCAUGCCGCGUGAGUGAUGAAGGCCUUCGGGUUGUAAAGCUCUUUUGGCGGGGUACGAUGAUGACGGUACCCGCAGAAUAAGCCCCGGCUAACUUCGUGCCAGCAGCCGC
rnacentral:rRNA from 1 species